CGACCGGCGCACGGGUGAGUAACACGUAUGGAACCUGCCCUAUGGCAGGGGGAUAAGCGGAAGAAAUUCCGUCUAACACCGCAUAACACCUUUAGGAGACAUCUUCUUGGGGUCAAAGGAGGCGACUCCGGCAUAGGAUGGCCAUGCGUCGCAUUAGCUAGUCGGCGGGGUAACGGCCCACCGAGGCGACGAUGCGUAGGGGUUCUGAGAGGAAGGUCCCCCACACUGGUACUGAGACACGGACCAGACUCCUACGGGAGGCAGCAG
rnacentral:rRNA from 1 species